rnacentral:rRNA from 1 species
AUACGGAGGCUGCAAGCGUUAAUCGGAAUUACUGGGCGUAAAGCGUGCGUAGGUGGUUUGUUAAGUUAGAUGUGAAAGCCCCGGGCUCAACCUGGGAACUGCAUUUGAAACUGGCAUACUAGAGUAUAGGAGAGGAAAGUGGAAUUUCAGGUGUAGCGGUGAAAUGCGUAGAUAUCUGAAGGAACAUCAAUGGCGAAGGCAGCUUUCUGGACUAAUACUGACACUGAGGUACGAAAGCGUGGGUAGCAAACAGGAUUAGAUACCCUGGUAGUCC